UACGAAGGGGACUAGCGUUGUUCGGAAUCACUGGGCGUAAAGCGCACGUAGGCGGAUAUGUCAGUCAGGGGUGAAAUCCCGGAGCUCAACUCCGGAACUGCCUCUGAUACAGCACGUCUUGAGUUCGAGAGAGGUGGGUGGAAUUCCUAGUGUAGAGGUGAAAUUCGUAGAUAUUAGGAAGAACACCGGUGGCGAAGGCGGCCCACUGGCUCGAUACUGACGCUGAGGUGCGAAAGCGUGGGGAGCAAACAGG
rnacentral:rRNA from 1 species